rnacentral:misc_RNA from 1 species
GGAAGGAUCAUUGCACACACAAAAAACUGCAAACAACCCCCUUUUGAGAACUGUAUCUUAUUUGUACAAACCACUUUUUGUUGAGUGGUCGGACUUGCUUUGUUGUGUCUUUGUUGUUGUUGCAGAAAUGCACAGCCAGGGCGCACAGGGCAAGCUCGAACACAACACAACAUUUGCACAAUGAUUUACACAUGUUUUUUGACUGAAUUUGUAUCGAGACCCUAUGAAAUAUGCCUCUCUCUCUAUCUUCACUCUUCUUGAGUGAAUGAGUGAGUGAGUGAGUGAGAGAGGGUUUCAUGAGUUGAGAUUUUAUGAAUAAUAAAAUACAACUCUCAGCAACGGAUAUCUUGGCUCUUGCAACGAUGAAGAACGCAGCGAAAUGCGAUACGUAGUGUGAAUUGCAGAAUUCCGUGAAUCAUCGAGUUUUUGAACGCAAGUUGCGCCCGAGGCUCGUCCGAGGGCAUUCCUGCCAGAGCGUCAUCGCGACACCCACCAAUUCUCUUUACAUAUCUUUUUAUGUAGGGAGAGUUGAGUGAAACUGGCCAUCCGAAUCUCUCUGUUUAUUUAAUAAAACAAGGGAAUUGGGUUGGCUGAAAUAGAGGGGGAAAAUCCGACCGGCGUGGUGACACAGUCCGCGAUCAGGUGAUCCAAGCUUUUUUGCCUUGGAAUUAUUUUGAGUGCGUGAUUUUGUGUCCCCCAGGCUCGGAUCCCAAAGCAGGUCCUUUCUCUCCCCUCCUCCCCCUUCUCUUGAAGAAGGGGGAGCCAGGGGGGAAAAAAGAAGAAACGUCCCGCAGCAGACCUCUGAUCAGGAAAGACUACCCGCUGAGUUUAAGCAUAUCACUAAGCGGAGGAGAAGAAACUAACCAGGAUUUCCCUAGUAACGGCGAGCGAACCGGAAAGAGCCCAGCUUGAAAAUCGAGGUGCUUCGCACCUCGAAUUGUAGUCUGGAGAAGCGUCCUCUGCAGCGUGCCGGCCCCAAGUUCCCUGGAAUGGGAUGCCCAAGAGGGUGACAGCCCCGUCGUGGCCGGUUUUUUAUUGUUGCUCCACGAGGCGCGAUCUGCGAGUCGGGCUGUUUGGGAAUGCAGCCCUAAGUGGGAGGUAAAUUCCUUCUAAGGCUAAAUAUUGGCAAGAGACCGAUAGCGAACAAGUACCGCGAGGGAAAGAUGAAAAGGACUUUGAAAAGAGAGUUAAACAGUGCUUGAAAUUGCUGGGAGGGAAGCGAAUGGAAGCUGCGGGUGUGCCCCGGUUGGAUGUGGAACGGCUUCGGCUGGUCUGCCGCUCAACGCGGGGCACUGGUCAGCGUGGGCUACUUCGGCGGGACAAGAGCAGGAUGUAGUUUCCUGCCUAUGCCGCCGAGGUGGCCGAGGAACGAAGCGUGCGGCCCCCCCUGGGGGUCGUGGGACUCGUCCCAACUGCAUGCUCGGGACGCUGGCGUAUUGAGCUCUUCAUCCGACCCGUCUUGAAACACGGACCAAGGAGUCUAACAUGUAUGCAAGCAGGUGGGCGGCAAACCCAUUGAUGCGCAAGUAAACUGACAGGUGGGACCCCCCUCAAAAGGGCGCACCAUCGACCGACCGUGAUCUUCUGUGAAAGGUUUGAGUGUGAGCAUACCUGUUGGGACCCGAAAGAUGGUGAACUAUGCCUGAGCAGGGCGAAGCCAGAGGAAACUCUGGUGGAGGCUCGUAGCGAUACUGACGUGCAAAUCGUUCGUCAGACUUGGGUAUAGGGGCGAAAGACUAAUCGAACCAUCUAGUAGCUGGUUCCCUC